rnacentral:pre_miRNA from 1 species
UUGAGCAAGAUGGAGAAGCAGGGCACGUGCAUUACUAACUCAUGCAAUUUGAUACAUAUAUGCAAGCAUAUAUGUUUUUAUGUCGAUAUGAACGCACAUAUAUAUAUACAUAUGGAUUCAGACUCCGAUGUUAUAUUAUAAAGAGCGGAAAUCUCUCUUUAGAUAAAUGAUCCUAUCGACUAUUUUAGUUGCUUUGAGUUAGUACUUUCAUGUGCCUGUCUUCCCCAUCAUGCCCAC